rnacentral:rRNA from 1 species
UACGUAGGGCGCAAGCGUUAUCCGGAAUUAUUGGGCGUAAAGAGCUCGUAGGCGGUUUGUCGCGUCUGCCGUGAAAGUCCGGGGCUCAACUCCGGAUCUGCGGUGGGUACGGGCAGACUAGAGUGAUGUAGGGGAGACUGGAAUUCCUGGUGUAGCGGUGAAAUGCGCAGAUAUCAGGAGGAACACCGAUGGCGAAGGCAGGUCUCUGGGCAUUAACUGACGCUGAGGAGCGAAAGCUAGGGGAGCGAAUGGG